rnacentral:lncRNA from 13 species
GGCGUCCUUUGUGCCCGCUCCUCUCCUUCCAGUACCUGUCAGACGCCUCUUCUACCCUGCGCCCUCCCCCGCCGCCAUUGCUCGCAGGUGCCUCGCGCAUAUUUUGAUGUUCCCGCCCCGCCACCUACUCCGCAUUGUCAACGGGUGCCUGGCGCCCAUACCUUGUCUCGAGAAUCCCUUAAGGUCGCCCUUCCGCGCAGAUAUGGUACUCGUGCCUGUCUUUUCACGUGCCCCACUCACUCAGGUUUGAACGUUGCAUUUCCUGGCAACAGGAGAAUGCUCCCUUCCCCUUUGGUCAGUUGGUAUCAGACAAGAGGACGCUCAGAGCCAGCUCUUGAGAGUUCAAGCAACAGAAAAUAUCCCACUGCUCCCAGGAGCGGUUACCAGGGCACUCUCUGCCGUUUAUCCCUGUCCCGGUCCCGUCCCGGAGCCGAGGACCCUCCAGUAGGACUCAGUCGCCUUGAGCCUGCUGCCCACAUCCCUCACUUCACUUUGCUCGUGGGAUCUCUCCGUUGCUCCUGCCCCUGGACGGAGUGGCAAGCCAUCCUACCAGGACAGGGCCAUGACCCCAGAGGAUGAAGCAGCAGCAUUUAUUCAAGAUACAACAGUGAGGGGAUCCCGUCACAUUCCAGUCUCCCCGGAGAGGGCACAUCUUGAGAAGUGAUCCAGGAGACAUAGAUGGGGUUUGCUGCAUUAUCCAGACUGGUCUCCAACACCUGGGUUCAGUUAUCCUGCUGUGGUCUCUCAAAGUGCUGGGAUUAUAGGCAUGAGCCUCCACACCCAAACACUUGGGGUGGUUUUAAGCCCCCAGUAAGGUGCACCAGCAGGACCAAGAGGUGGCCUGGGCCUCCCCAACACUCUCAUCCAUGCAGACCUAGGACUGAAGCAGAGGGUGCUGUUUCUACGCCACCACCAGGAAAGAGGCAGAGGGGCUGGGCCGUGCUGGAGUCCUCUGGGAGGGAGCAACCUCAACCCUGGCUGUGCUGCAAGCUGGUUCCAGCCCUGCAGGGUCUCAAAUUACUGCAGAAGGCAGUGGAUUACUUCUCAUGGUCACAACGAGCUGGAGACCUCUCCUGAGUUGGUGACAUGGAGCACCCGGGACACAUGUUUCUGAACAGCCUAGGCUCAUCAUCAUCCUCACUACCACACCACUGGGCCCCAGUGAGGACCCUGUGAAGGGAGCCAGUGUGGGGUAUGAGCCACCUGAAUCCCUUUUCUCUGCCCCACAAGGGCCAGCAGCACCUGAAGAACAGCAGCAGGAGGUGGCAUGAGAGCAGUGGCUCAUGGGCAGAGCUGCCCAUGGGAAACUGCGGCUGCCACUCCCUCCCGAGGGCUGCCCAGAGUAGUGGAGGCUCAGCAUAAAAUGAAAAAGGGGAGUAAGGGACACCAGGAGGUGGGAGGUGGGUGGCCCCAGCCCCACAAACUAAGCAGAGACCCUCUCUUCACCCAGACUCUGCAGGGGCACCUCAGGCUGGUAGACCAGGUCCUCUGGGUUUGGGCCAGGAGGCAGGCCUGCCCUAAGGGUCAUGCAGAGGAUACAGGGCCACACAUGCCAGUGCCCUGCUUAGACAUCAGCCUCCAGGUUGACGUGGGGUCAGGCCAGGUUUGGUCCUGUGCUUGACUGGGCCAGGACUCGUGGCUAGAGCACCUGGGGACCCUCAUUCAGCCCUGGUCUGCUGGAAGGGAGACAGCAGAUUUUAGGACUCCACAGCACAGCAGUGAUAAGCAUUUUACUCUCUUGGUCUCCUUGAGGAAUAGAACAAGGAGUACUCUGGGGACAGACGAGGACUUACACAACAGCCUCAGCUGUGGCCCCUGCUUUCUGAGCUUGGUUAAAACACUGACCAUGGCAGAAAGGACAUAGCUUGGGUUCUCACACCUCACUUCCCACAUCCCCUAACGAUAGCAGUGCAUAUGGAGGAGAUGCCUCCUAUGACGCCAAGGCCUCCAGUGCUCACUGAUGCCCUCAUCAAAGUUGGGUAGAACUUGUCAGUGAAGAGGGGCUCAGGCAGCUCACGGAAGUAGAGUUUCAGUGUGUCUGUGAUGGCCUGUAUGUCCAUCUCACUCAUCAUCAUCC